ACUCCCUCUAUUGCCUCUCCAGACCCAGACUUCACCCUCAGGUCACCCUCACCUGGACUUUGGGGUGCCCCACACCCCGCCCCAGGCCCUGGCCUCUGGAAUAUUUGGAAACUUGAACUGGGCCAGAGGCUUAAGCUCACAUCUGUCUGGAGCCUCAACUUUCUCCUCUGUAAAAUGGGCUAACACUGAAAGAACCUUGCAGAAUCUCAGCAACGUCACAGAGGACAUUGUUAGCACAGCCAGCGGGCUCCUGCUGGGCUGAGUUUGUGGGUAAUCCAAGCCUCGGCAGGUACAGUUCCUCCCUCAGGGCCCAGGACACAGUGAGCAUACAAUAGACAUUAGCUGCUGUGGUGUCUUGAUUUCAAGCCCAGUGCAGAUGCAUCUGACUUACGAAACUUCAGUGACACCUGCUCUGUGCCAGACACUGAAGAUGGAGCAGUGAACAGCACUGACCCAGCCUGUCCUCCUGUUGCCUGCAGGCCAGAAGCAAGGUCUCGCUGUGUUACCCUGGCUGGAGUGCAGUGGCUACUUACAGGCAUGAUCAUAGCAUACUGCAGCCUCGAACUCCUGGACUAGAGCAGUUCUCCUGCCUCAGCCUCCAGAGCAGCUGGGACUGCAGACACGCACCACAGAGCCCAGCCUGAGUCAUUUUGAUUCUGUAACUGGCUUCCUCUCGGCGGGCAGGCUCACACCCUCCACCCCCAGCUGGAGAUGGAAGGAGGAUGCUCACCGCCCAUUCCUCAUGCAGGCCAUCGAUGGAAAUGUCAGACAGUGCGAGUCCACGCCUGAACACUUCUGGGGUCCGCUCUGGGACUGACACUGGCAGAUCCAUCGGUGAGCUCCCGCCUGCCACCUCUGGGCCUGCAUUGCGGUGAUAGGGCCAAGGGCCUGGGCCUUCAAUUCUCCAGACUUGCCAAAAUGCUCAGCGCAGGCCUCGUCGGCAACUGCAGACAAGCAGAGGCAGCACCUGGGCUCUGCCUGUGCCUGGCACAGUGAAGCGAGGGUGGGGGCAGGAAUGAGGGUCCUCUCCAUGCAAGGGGGGAAGAUAGAAGAACAAAAUUUCACCCUAAUGUAGUGUCUUUAGACCGUGCAAUGUUGUGCUCCUGUUAGUCUGAUAUCAGGGGCUUGCAGCCUGGCAAAGGAAAAAAAACAGGCUGAGGCACAUGAUAGAAGACAGGCAGGGAUGCCACAAUCAUAACCAUGGCAAAGACCAGGAUCAGAAAGGCCCACCAUCUCUGACCCCAAAUCCCUGGGCAGAUGGUUCCAGAACUCAGAAUUUUCCCAGUUGUAGAAAGAUGGGGCCAGGUGCAGUGGCUCACGCCUGUAAUCCCAGCAUUUUGGGAGUACAAGGUGGGCGGAUCACCUGAGGUCAGGAGUUCGAGACCAGCCUGGCCAACAUGGUGAAACCCUGUCUCUACUAAAAAAAAAAAAAAAAAUUAGCCGGGCGUGGCGAUGCAUGCCUGUAAUCCCAGCUACUCGGGAGGCUGAGCCAGGAGAAUUGCUUGAACCCGGGAGGCGGAGGUUGCAGUGAGCCAAGAUCGCGCCACUACACUCCAGUCCGGGCGACAGAGCAAGAGUCCAUUCCCCCACCACCAAAAAAAAAAAAAAAAGAAAGAAAGAUGAUGUGAUACAUAUCACAUAUUUCCUAACACCCCCAACCAAACACAUUUAUGCAUAUGCAUAAAGCAGACGAGGAAAGAUUCUAAAUAGGCUCUGAAUCUCAGUUUUCUCAUCUCUACAAUGGGGCAGUGAUGGCAUGCACCUCCCAGGGCUGUUCUGAGAAUCUGAUGCCUCCCAUUGCACUGGUGAGCCUGGCACAGGCACAGGUCCCACCCCAGGCCCUUUGAACUGGCUGUUCCUUUGGCCUGGAACAUUCCUCCCCAGAUACCUCCUGAGAGGGCUCCCUCACUUCCUUCAAGGCACUGCUCAAAUGCUACCUCUUCACAGAGGCUUUCCCUGACCACCCCGUCUCUUUCCUCUUCCUGCAUAGCCUCUGUCACCUGACAUUUUAUGUCAUAAAUUACUCAUUUAUUAAUUUCCUGCUCUCCCACAGUGGCACCCGAGCUCUGUGAGGGCAAGACUUUGUUCGGUUGUGGGCUAUGCCCCCAACCCCUCGGACAGUGCCUGCACAGGUGGACAUUUUUGUUGGAUGAAGGAUUUUCUGUUAAAUGUGUCUGGCACACACAGAAAAACAAAGCCCAGCAGAUGCCGUUCCAUUGUUUGCUGACUUUCAUUGAUUCUAUGAGAAGUCUGCAGUCUUUUGCAGCGUUGUUUUCCUAUGUAUAAUUGUCUCCUCCCACCCCACUCACCCCAGCUGCUUUCCACAUUCUCUCUCUUUGAUUUUCAGCAGUCUGCCCAUGAUGUGCCUAAAUAGGACUUUCUUUGCAUUCAUCUUGGCUGGGGCUCACUGAACUUUCUGAAUCUGUAGAUUAAUUUUCUUUUUUCAAUAAACCUUGGAAUAUUUUCAGCAUAAUUUUUUUCCUGUCUUCUUCUCUCUCUUUUCUCCUCUGAAAU
rnacentral:lncRNA from 10 species